ensembl:lncRNA
CUUCAAAGUGAGAGGCCAUCAUUCCCCCUAAUUAUUGUUGAUUGCAUUCAUUAUGUCAUGUCUCGAUAUCUUGGAGGCGCUGUUGGUGGUUUGGGCUAAAUGGCAGCUAUGGGUUAGCUUGUUUCUCAAAGCUAAUUGGACGUCAGGCAAACAGAGACAGAAGAAAGUGCCUCUCAUCAGCAGACUGCCCACUGUCCAAUGUAUUUUUUAUGAGCUGGCAGACCACUUACAGAGCAGACUGAAGCCCAGGGUUGUGAUGCUUGUGAGAUGUCAAGCACCUCUUCCCAGAAAUCCCUCAAGCUCUGUUUUAAUGAAAUUAACAAGCUUAUUAAAAAAAUCUGCUGCACUGACAUCUGACACAGCACCUCACUGCGUUUCUUAAAUCAAGUUCGGAAGGAAUAGGAGGAAGUUCGUGGCGAGCUUAAUAGAAAUAAAAAGAGAAACAAUGUAACGCUUUUUAUACUCCGGACGAACAUCUCAAUCCAUUACCCUUGAACUUAAAAAGAAAAUAAAAAAAUAAAAACAGCCAGUAAACAUGUAUGAAGCCACCAAAGGGAAAUACUCUGACUGCAGGUUACAUUUCUCCUGAAAAGAGAACGAGAAAAGAUUAGAAAAGCACUCUGGGAGCAAUUCUAAAUCUCACAGAUCAGCAGUGAAGGGACAGCCAAGCUGGCAACAGAGAUACGGAGGCACAAUGGUGAAUCACUCCCACGCGUCCCCCAACAAUACAAGGCAGGGCGGGUGACUCAGAAAUACUGAUUCACCUAUAUGCCUACUUGUACAUACAGUAUGUGCACCCACACUCAUGCACACACACUGACAGACAAACACCCACCAUCCUUAUAGUGUUAUUACCAUAUGCAUUGCUUUCUUAUGCCAGAGUUUCUAGCCUCCAGAUAUGGGAAAAAAUCAAAAGAGGAGGCCGUCCUUCUUCUCAGGUCGGCAAAUACUUACUUUUGUGCUGAUGCCUUAAUGCACCCACAUUAAUGAUGCUGUACAAGUCUCUGUCACUGUGUAGCCAUAAGCAUAAUUUUGCUAUGUGCAAGGUUAAUAUUACUAAUAUUUUUAAUCCAAAACAAGAUGGACUCUUCAACCUAACCAUGUAAUUUUGGCACCUAAAUUGAAAAAAAAAAAAGCACAAACUAACUGCUACACAUGAGUCCCAAUCAAGAACAAUGCCAUUGCUUUCUGACUAAUGGUCUUUGGAUCCAAAUUUCAUAUGCAGUCGAUGCUGGUUUUUCAAAUUAGACUUUAGGAGUUCCAACUUUGACGUAAAGAGCAUCCAGGCUCCCAA